GAUAGUCCCGUAUACGAAAUAAUCACAGUGGAACUAAGCAUACGAACAAGUAGGACGGGGCACGUGGAACCUUGUCUGAAUAUGGGGGGACCAUCCUCCAAGGCUAAAUACUCCUGAAUGACCGAUAGUGAACUAGUACCGUGAGGGAAAGGUGAAAAGAACCCUUAUAAAGGGAGUGAAAUAGAAUCUGAAACCGCUUGCAUACAAGCAGUAGGAGCAUGAUUUAGUCAUGUGACUGCGUACCUUUUGUAUAAUGGGUCAGCGAGUUAUUUUUAGUGGCGAGGAUAACUGAAUAAGGGAUCCGUAGCGAAAGCGAGUUUUAAUAGGGCGACUAGUCGCUAGGAGUAGACCCGAAACCGGCGCGAUCUAUCCAUGGCCAGGUUGAAGAUUAGGUAGUACUAAUUGGAGGACCGAACCCAAUACUGUUGCAAAAGUAUGGGAUGAGCUGUGGAUCGGAGUGAAAGGCUAAUCAAGCACGGAGAUAGCUGGUUCUCCCCGAAAACUAUUUAGGUAGUGCCUCGUGUAUAACUCAUUGGGGUAAAGCACUGUUUCGACAAUGGGGGUUUUACGACCUUACUGACUCGAUGCAAACUCAGAAUACGAUGAAGUUCGAUCACGGGAGACACACUGCGGGUGCUAAGGUCCGCAGUGGAAAGGGAAACAGCCCAGACCGCCAACUAAGGUCCCAAAGUCAUAGCUAAGUGGGAAACGAAGUGGGAAGGCCCAGACAGCCAGGAGGUUGGCUUAGAAGCAGCCACCCUUUAAAGAAAGCGUAAUAGCUCACUGGUCGAGUCGGCCUGCACGUAAGAUUUAACGGGGCUAAGCUAUGCACUGAAGUUGCGGAAUAUAUUUAGUAUAUUGGUAGGGGAGCGUUCUGUAAGCCGAUGAAGGUGAAUUGAGAAGUUUGCUGGAGGUAUCAGAAGUGCGAAUGCUGACAUGAGUAACGUAAAAUAAGUGAGAUUCUUAUUGGCCGAAAACCCAAGGGUUCCUACGCAAUGUUAAUCAACGUAGGGUAAGCCGGCCCCUAAGGCGUAGCUGAAGAGUGAAGUCGAUGGGAAACAGGUUAAUAUUCCUGUGCUGCUUAUAUGAACGAAGGAGGGACGGAGAAGGUUAGGUAGGCCUGGCGAAUGGUUGUCCAGGUGAAAGUAUGUAGGUAGGAAUGCUAGGCAAAUCCGGUGUUCUGUUGAUCUGAGAUACGAGACGAAGUUAAACUUGUUUGACGAAGCUAUUGAUACCAUGCUUCCAGGAAAAGCUUCUAAGUAUAUUGUAUAAGUGACCGUACUGUAAACCGACACUGGUGGGUAGGUAGAGAAUACUAAGGCUAUGAGAUAACUCUGGUGAAGGAACUAGGCAAAAUGACACCGUAACUUUGGAAGAAGGUGUGCCCUUGAUGGUGAUGAGACUUGCUCUUUGAGCUGUUGGGGGUUGCAGAUACCAGGUGGCUGCGACUGUUUAUCAAAAACACAGCACUCUGCGAAAUCGUAAGAUGAAGUAUAGGGUGUGACGCCUGCCCGGUGCUGGAAGGUUAAUUGAAGGGGUUAGCGCAAGCGAAGCUCUGGAUCGAAGCCCCAGUAAACGGCGGCCGUAACUAUAACGGUCCUAAGGUAGCGAAAUUCCUUGUCGGGUAAGUUCCGACCUGCACGAAUGGCGUAACGAUGGCCACACUGUCUCCACCAGAGACUCAGUGAAAUUGAAAUCGCUGUGAAGAUGCAGUGUACCCGCGGUUAGACGGAAAGACCCCGUGAACCUUUACUAUAGCUUUGCACUGGACUUUGAAUAUUUAUGUGUAGGAUAGGUGGGAGACCAUGAAGCAGCUACGCCAGUAGUUGUGGAGUCGUCCUUGAAAUACCACCCUUGAAUAUUUGAAGUUCUAACUCAGGAGAGAUUCGAGGACAGUGUAUGGUGGGUAGUUUGACUGGGGCGGUCUCCUCCUAAAGAGUAACGGAGGAGUACGAAGGUGCACUCGGUACGGUCGGAAAUCGUGCCAAGAGUAUAAAGGCAAAAGUGCGCUUGACUGCGAGAGUGACGGCUCGAGCAGG
rnacentral:rRNA from 1 species